rnacentral:rRNA from 1 species
UACGGAGGGAGCUAGCGUUGUUCGGAAUUACUGGGCGUAAAGCGCGCGUAGGCGGCUUUGUAAGUUAGAGGUGAAAGCCCGGGGCUCAACCCCGGAACUGCCUUUAAGACUGCAUCGCUUGAAUCCGGGAGAGGUGAGUGGAAUUCCGAGUGUAGAGGUGAAAUUCGUAGAUAUUCGGAAGAACACCAGUGGCGAAGGCGGCUCACUGGACCGGUAUUGACGCUGAGGUGCGAAAGCGUGGGGAGCAAACGGG